rnacentral:tRNA from 1 species
UGUGAUAUGCCAGAUAAAUGGGGAAUAUUGAUAAUAUUUUUAUGUAUGUAUAUACUGUCACAU